GAUGAAGAACGCAGCGAAAUGCGAUAAGUAAUGUGAAUUGCAGAAUUCAGUGAAUCAUCGAAUCUUUGAACGCACAUUGCGCCCGCCAGUAUUCUGGCGGGCAUGCCUGUCCGAGCGUCAUUUCAACCCUCGAACCCCUCCGGGGGUCGGCGUUGGGGACCUCGGGAGCCCCUAAGACGGGAUCCCGGCCCCGAAAUACAGUGGCGGUCUCGCCGCAGCCUCUCCUGCGCAGUAGUUUGCACAACUCGCACCGGGAGCGCGGCGCGUCCACGUCCGUAAAACACCCAACUUCUGAAAUGUUGACCUCGGAUCAGGUAGGAAUACCCGCUGAACUUAAGCAUAUCAAUAAGCGGAGGA
rnacentral:misc_RNA from 1 species